GAAACAACGUGAGGUUUCGGGGGUGCAGAAAACACACGACCACUACGGGUCAACCCGCUCACAUCAGCAAUAUUUACAACCGAAGUUGAAGGCAACGACACUUCCUUCCCAUCUUCCACAACAACUGGAUUAUAUCUGAAAGGAAUUGCUCUAUCCGAAGAAUAAGGCACAGGGCCUGCAGGCUUGAUCACUAAAGAAGGAGAAACCUUCGGCUUGCUACCAUCAUAACGGAUGACAACAGGCUCAGGCAACUUGAAC
rnacentral:lncRNA from 1 species